UGCGGGUAUAGAGAAAGGGCGUCUCACAUGUCUCAUUAGCAUGGUAUCGGUAGGUUCGACUCCUACACCCGCCUCCA
rnacentral:tRNA from 5 species